CUUGUUCUCGGCGACUUCAACCUUAUCUACGAGGCCCGUGAUAAGAGCAACUCAAACCUUAAUCACAGCAUGAUGGCUAAGUUCCGGGCCGCUCUAAACGCCGGCGAACUGCGCGAAAUCUCCUUGCAUGGCCGCCGUUUCACCUGGUCCAAUGAGCAGGACGACCCUACUCUCUGCCGCCUCGACCGUGCUUUCUGCGACGUGGACUGAGAUCUACUGCAUCGUUCGGCUCGUCUCGCGCCCCUUGCCACCGACAGGUCUGAUCAUUGCCCGCUUGUGCUCACAUGCGAGUCCCGGUCGGGUAAGUUCGGUUUUCGCUUUGAGGCAUUUUGGGUCCAUCUUCACGGAUUCUCCGAUGUCGUGUCCACCUCCUAGAACGAGCCUUGCCCGCCGCUGGAUGCGAACAAAAACUCGGUUGGCGAUACCAGACUACAGCUGCUCAUGGCCCAAGACACGGUCCGGCUGUUGGAUGAGGCCCAGGAGUCGCGUCGACUUGAGCAGGACGAGCUUGAGCUCAGAAAAUCCCUCAAAGCCAGGAUCCUUGGGCUUGCUGUCAUUGAACGGAUCAAGGCUAAGCAGCGAUCGUGUGUGCGCUACCUCCGCUCCGGCGACGCCAACACCAAGUUUUUUCAUCUUAAGGCUAAUGGCCACCGCCGUAAGAACUUCAUUGCCUCCCUCCGAACUGCCAGUUUGAUCGCCAUGACCCAGGAGCACAAAACGGCGGUGGCAAAGGAGUUCUUCGAUGGUCUCAUCGGGCAGUCGGCCAAUUCUCAGCUCGGCCUUGACUGGGACAGCCUUGGCCUGCCAUCUGAAGACUUGAGGGACCUCGAAGCGCCGUUUUCUUUGGAGGAAAUCCGGCAAGGCAUUAGCGAUCUGCCGGCCGACCGCGCUCCUGGCCCAGAUGGUUUCACUGGGGGGGGUUUCAAAGUUGCCGCCCCAAUCAUAAUGCCAGACCUGCUGCUCGCUUUUCGCCAGGUGUACCUGAUGAACCGCUCCAGUUUGCACAAGCUCAAUGGCGCGCACAUUGUUCUUCUCCCCAAAAAAGCCGACGCGGCCGCCAUGGGUGACUACCGGCCUAUCAGCCUUCUGCAUAGCAUUGCCAAGCUCAUUAUGAAGGUC
rnacentral:rRNA from 1 species